UUCCGGUUGAUCCCGCCGGAGGCUACCGCUAUUGGAAUCCGAUUAAGCCAUGCGAGUCGAGAGAUUUCGGAUCUCGGCAGACGUCUCAGUAACACGUGGAUAAUCUACCCUUGAGUGGGGGAUAAGCUUGGAAACCUGAGUAUAAUACCCCAUAGGCCUAGGAUGCUGGAAUGCUUCUUGGCUGAAAGCUCCGGCGCUCGAGGAUGAAUCUGCGGCCUAUCAGGCUGUAGUGGGUGUAACGGACCCACUAACCUUCGACGGGUACGGGCCAUGAGAGAGGUUGCCCGGAGUUGGACUCUGAGACACGAGUCCAGGCCCUACGGGGUGCAGCAGGCGCGAAAACUUCACAAUGUGGGAAACCACGAUGAGGGGAUUCCAAGUGCCAGCACAAUGUGUUGGCUGUUCACUUGCCUAAAAAGCUGGUGAAGUAAGGGCCGGGUAAGACGGGUGCCAGCCGCCGCGGUAAUACCCGCGGCCCGAGUGGUGGCCAUUGUUAUUGAGCCUAAAGCGUUCGUAGCCGGUUUCGUAAAUUUCUGGGUAAAUCGGACAGCUUAACUGUCCGAAUUCCGGAAAGACUGCGAAACUUGGGACCGGAGGAGGUUGGAGGUACUCCUGGGGUAGGGGUGAAAUCCUGUAAUCCUGGGGGGACCACCAGUGGCGAAGGCGUCCAACCAAGACGGCUCCGACGGUAAGGGACGAAGCCCUGGGGCGCAAACGGGAUUAGAUACCCCGGUAGUCCAGGGUGUAAACGCUGCAGGCUUGGUGUUGGGGGUCCUACGAGGGCGCCCAGUGCCGGAGAGAAGUUGUUAAGCCUGCCGCUUGGGGAGUACGUCCGCAAGGAUGAAACUUAAAGGAAUUGGCGGGGGAGCACAGCAACGGGUGGAGCGUGCGGUUCAAUUGGAUUCAACGCCGGAA
rnacentral:rRNA from 1 species